UACGUAGGGACCAAGCGUUGUUCGGAUUUACUGGGCGUAAAGGGCGCGUAGGCGGCCCUCUAAGUCAGACGUGAAAUCCCCCGGCUUAACCUGGGAACUGCGUCUGAUACUGGAGGGCUUGAGUGCGGGAGAGGGAUGUGGAAUUCCAGGUGUAGCGGUGAAAUGCGUAGAUAUCUGGAGGAACACCGGUGGCGAAGGCGGCAUCCUGGACCGACACUGACGCUGAGGCGCGAAAGCUAGGGUAGCAAACGGG
rnacentral:rRNA from 1 species